AGGGAGAAGCCACUCCAUCUUUCUUUUUUUCCUUUUUCCAACUUUCUUCUUCUUCCUCCUCCUUCUCAUUCUGAUCUGGAACAAUGGCGACAGAAGACGAAGAGCGAGAAGCAGCAGAUGGGACGGUAAGAAAUGUCUCCUCUUAGCCUCAGAACUUCUGCAUCACUUGCUUGCUUCUGUUUUCCUGCAUGCAUACAUACUUUGUUAAGAUGUAGAGUUAAGUAAGGAGAUUCAUUGUCACAGUAAUCUUAUCAUCUAUGGCAUCUUCUUCUGGUUCCACAGUUGCUACGUGUUUGCUGUUAACCUCCUUUCAGUAUCAUGAAGGAAGAAGGAUUCUUCUUCAUGUAGUAAACUGUGUAGAAAUGGUGCUGCACCUGCACUCAUUUCUCAGUUGUUAAACAAAUGAUCUCAAAAGCAACCAAGUUUACGGAAAAAAAAUUAACACAGAUAGGGAGAAUCAUCCCAUGAUAGGUAUCACCGAGUGACAUGCUUUCGCUCUUCUCUUUCAGUUGCUUCUUUUUCUCAAUCUGGUAUUGCUCUCCUGAGCUUGAUAGAUGGUAUAUGAAUUCACCCAAGUUUGAGAAAAUAAUGUUAGUUAAAGAAUUACAUAACAACUUUUCCUCCUAGGUUCAACCUAUCCAGAACCAAAACAAAAAAUGCUAACGAUAAGGAUAAACAAGUUUAACAGUUCGGUCAACUGCUGUGACAUGAAUGACACUAUGACAGGGUUAGGUAAACAUGCAUAAGCAUCUAACAUUAAUUUACACUGAGUGUCAACCAUCCAGUGUGGCGAUCAAAUAAAAGGCAUGAAGAGAGCAAAAGUCUACUUAAAGCAUGCCAAAACAAAUAGUUCAGUACUAACACGCUUAAUAGGAACAUUCAAUAUUACAACCCUUCAUGUAAGAACUAAACAAGGUUUUUGGAGAGACACAAACUCAUCCAGUUAGGAUGCCCACAUGCGUACUGCCGGGGCAGUGUGCCAUUUGACUAGUCAGCAUGUUCUUUUUGACCACUUGCUGCAGUACUAGAAGUCUAGACUCUAGAGCCAUUUAUCAGUAAGUCAGGUGCCAACGAGAAAUGGCGAUUAGCCGACUGCCAUGCAUGACAGUCUGCUUGCACUUUUUCUGUGCUGCAGUACACUCAUGACUGGAUGUCCUUUUGAGUAUAUUUAUGGCAGUAAUUGAACAAAGUCAAGGAAUAGUUAAUACAAGAUUGUAUAGGUUAACAUUUCCUUUUCUAUUCCUACUUUGGUUCAUGACUACUAUGGAUAAUAUUUUUUUUUCUAAAACGCGCAGGAGAACUGCGCAUUAGAUAUAUUAAGAUAGAAGAAAUACCAAUGGUCUAAAGAAGACCAGAGUACAGAGAAACAACAAAAAAAUAU
rnacentral:lncRNA from 7 species